rnacentral:rRNA from 1 species
UAACGAUCUCGGCAACGGAUAUUGGUGUGAAUUGCAGAAUCCCGUGAACAUCGAGUCUUUGAACGCAAGUUGCGCCCGAAGCCAUUAGGUCGAGGGCACGUCUGCCUGGGCGUCUCACA